AUGAAUUAUUGUUGUUGUGGGUGGACGGGACCAUGGAAAAUAUCAGCAAGACGUGGGCCGAUGGAUCGUGGGAUGAGCUCACGUAAAACUGCAGAAAACUCGGCAAGAAGCCUCGUAAUUUUGCGCGAGUCCAGAGACUCCCAUACUAACCCGUUAUCACCUGAAAUUUUCCCCGGGACCGUGCAUGGCAACGCUCGUCCUCGUCUUGAGCUUGUUAUCAAACAGGCACUGAAAGUUGACAAGGCAGGUGAGCUUGUGUUGGCACAUCUUCUAUGCCUUCCCGAACAACAAAUUCAAGUGUUGGGUUUGCCGAAGUUCAGAGAAACGAUGGAACGAUGGCUUGGUAUUUAUGGUAUGAAAUGCGAAGAUUGA
rnacentral:rRNA from 1 species